CGAGCGAGCUUGCCUAGAUGAUUUUAGUGCUUGCACUAAAUGAAACUAUAUACAAGCGAGCGGCGGACGGGUGAGUAACACGUGGGUAACCUGCCCAAGAGACUGGGAUAACACCUGGAAACAGAUGCUAAUACCGGAUAACAACACUAGACGCAUGUCUAGAGUUUGAAAGAUGGUUCUGCUAUCACUCUUGGAUGGACCUGCGGUGCAUUAGCUAGUUGGUAAGGUAACGGCUUACCAAGGCAAUGAUGCAUAGCCGAGUUGAGAGACUGAUCGGCCACAUUGGGACUGAGACACGGCCCAAACUCCUACGGGAGGCAGCAGUAGGGAAUCUUCCACAAUGGACGAAAGUCUGAUGGAGCAACGCCGCGUGAGUGAAGAAGGGUUUCGGCUCGUAAAGCUCUGUUGGUAGUGAAGAAAGAUAGAGGUAGUAACUGGCCUUUAUUUGACGGUAAUUACUUAGAAAGUCACGGCUAACUACGUGCCAGCAGCCGCGGUAAUACGUAGGUGGCAAGCGUUGUCCGGAUUUAUUGGGCGUAAAGCGAGUGCAGGCGGUUCAAUAAGUCUGAUGUGAAAGCCUUCGGCUCAACCGGAGAAUUGCAUCAGAAACUGUUGAACUUGAGUGCAGAAGAGGAGAGUGGAACUCCAUGUGUAGCGGUGGAAUGCGUAGAUAUAUGGAAGAACACCAGUGGCGAAGGCGGCUCUCUGGUCUGCAACUGACGCUGAGGCUCGAAAGCAUGGGUAGCGAACAGGAUUAGAUACCCUGGUAGUCCAUGC
rnacentral:rRNA from 1 species